CGGCCGGGCCCGCCGCCGACAGCAGCUCCGGGCGGCUGCCGCCUGCGGGGGUGAGGCGCUCGGGUCUCCUUCCCGUCCCGCUGCCCCGAGCGCCACUCGGCUGAGGACGAGGUGGCUCCGUGCCGGGCAGGAUGAUGUCGAAAGUUCGCGGACAGCGCAGGGGGAGCAGAAAACGGAACCAAAAAAACCACAGAAAUCUCUGCCAAGCGUUUCGGUAACUUUGCCGCGGGCCGGCCCCGGCCAGAGCCGCAGGCGCUGAAGUUGUGGCCGCCGCGGAUCCCUGCCCCGCCGCGACGGGGCCCCGCGGGAGUGAGCGCUCCGACUCCGGGCGGUCUGGAGCCUGUCGGACGAACUAGUUGGAGGCUACCGCUCAGCCUUCCACGGAAACCGCAAGCGUGAGAGCCCUGCCCGCACGGCGAGCGGCUGAUACCGAGAGGAAAUUGAGAUGUAAAAGGGUUCUCCGGGCUAGCGAGGAGCGGCACUGUCGUGUACAUUAAUUGCUUCGCAUUGGCGUGCUGCUCAUAAAACUUAAUCUCCUUGCCUAGCCCUCGGUAAGAGGCACCCUUCGCCCCUCCGGAGCGUUUCGGGAAGGGAUUCUGGAGAGCGCCCAGCCCGGCCCCCGGUUCAAGACACGGGCGCAGCUCUUAGUCUGCGAGUGAAGAAUAACGUCAGGAAUUAGCAGAGUUAGUGAGGGAGUGAUGGAAAUAAAAUCACAUUAAAAUGGCAAUUAUCUCUCAUCAUUUGCAGCGUGUGACUUCUGGCAUUUAUCUCCGCGUCACGUAUGAAAUACAGCUGCAUGACAGCCGUCUUUCCGCUGGGGCUCUGGCUCCUGGUGUCCGUAGCACUGCAAGGAUGUGUUUGCUGGUUUUAAAACAGUUUUAAAACUAAAGUGGAGUUGUAGAGGUGGAAACAUUUUUGUUGGUUCUCGCUUUCAAAUAAAGGUUUUCCUUUCAAUUGCAA